rnacentral:rRNA from 1 species
GGAUUGAACGCUAGCGGGAUGCUUUACACAUGCAAGUCGAACGGCAGCGCGGACUUCGGUCUGGCGGCGAGUGGCGAACGGGUGAGUAAUAUAUCGGAACGUGCCCAGUAGCGGGGGAUAACUGCGCGAAGGCGUGGCUAAUACCGCAUACGCCCUACGGGGGAAAGGGGGGAUUCUUCGGAACCUCUCACUAUUGGAGCGGCCGAUAUCAGAUUAGCUAGUUGGUGAGGUAAAGGCUCACCAAGGCGACGAUCUGUAGCUGGUUUGAGAGGACGACCAGCCACACUGGGACUGAGACACGGCCCAGACUCCUACGGGA